AUACUCAUAGUCUUGUGCAUAUCACAACAAACUAUAGUAUUUUCUAGUUAAGUCAGACCCUUCAUUUUCAUAUAGCCAUAUAUAAAAAAUACCAUCCUUGUGGAUAUCAUAAUAAAGUAACAUAUCCAAAUAUACCAUAAAGCAUAUAAUAUGUACCAAGACAACCCCACAUCAAUUUUCAUAGCAAGUCUUGUGGAUAUCACAAUAAACCUACUAUGAUCUUUGAUAGGGUAUCGACUAGGCAUG
rnacentral:lncRNA from 1 species